rnacentral:rRNA from 1 species
GUAGUCAUAUGCUUGUCUCAAAGAUUAAGCCAUGCAUGUCUAAGUAUAAACAACUUUAUACUGUAAAACUGCGAACGGCUCAUUACAUCAGCAAUAAUUUAUUUGAUGAUUUCUUACUACAUGGAUAACUGUAGUAAUUCUAGAGCUAAUACAUGCGCAAAGUCCUGACUCGCGAGGGGAGGGAUGUAUUUAUUAGAUACAAAACCAAUGCGGGUUCUGCUCGCCAUUGUGUUGAAUCAUAGUAACUUAUCGGACGCCAUAGCCUUGUGCUGGGCGUAGAUCAUUCAAAUUUCUGCCCUAUCAGCUUUCGACGGUAGUGUAGUGGACUACCGUGGCGUUAACGGGUAACGGGGAAUA